UACGUAGGGGGCAAGCGUUGUCCGGAUUUAUUGGGCGUAAAGAGCGUGUAGGCGGCUAGAUAGGUCCGUUGUGAAAACUCGAGGCUCAACCUCGAGACGCCGGUGGAAACCAUCUAGCUAGAGUCCGGAAGAGGAGAGUGGAAUUCCUGGUGUAGCGGUGAAGUGCGCAGAUAUCAGGAAGAACACCCGUGGCGAAGGCGGCUCUCUGGUACGGUACUGACGCUGAGACGCGAAAGCGUGGGGAGCGAACAGG
rnacentral:rRNA from 1 species